rnacentral:misc_RNA from 1 species
GAUGAAGAACGCAGCGAAAUGCGAUAAGUAAUGUGAAUUGCAGAAUUCAGUGAACCAUCGAAUCUUUGAACGCACAUUGCGCCCGGCAGUAAUCUGCCGGGCAUGCCUGUCCGAGCGUCAUUUCUGCCCUCGAGCGAGUCCAGCAUCUAGGUGCUGGGCCCGCCCGGCGUUGGGGCACUACGGGAAGCCCUGUGCUGUCCCCCGUAGGCCCCGAAAUGAAGUGGCGGUCCUGCCGCGGCGCCCCCUGCGUAGUAUAACAGCUCGCUUCGGGACCCGGUGGAGGCCUGCCGUCAAACCUUACUCUCUAAGUUUGACCUCGGAUCAGGUAGGGUUACCCGCUGAACUUAAGCAUAUCAUAAGCGGAGGA